rnacentral:rRNA from 1 species
UAGAGUUUGAUCCUGGCUCAGGAUGAACGCUGGCGGCGUGCUUAACACAUGCAAGUCGAGCGAGAAGUUAACUAUUGAAUCUUCGGAUGAUUUAGUUGAUGGACAGCGGCGGACGGGUGAGUAACGCGUGGGUAACCUGCCCUACCCUGGGGGACAACAGUUGGAAACGACUGCUAAUACCGCAUAAGACCACAGUAUCUCAUGAUACAGUGGUAAAAACUCCGGUGGUGUAGGAUGGACCCGCGUCUGAUUAGCUAGUUGGUGAGGUAGAGGCUCACCAAGGCGACGAUCAGUAGCCGGCCUGAGAGGGUGGACGGCCACAUUGGGACUGAGACACGGCCCAAACUCCUACGGGAGGCAGCAGUGGGGAAUAUUGCACAAUGGGGGAAACCCUGAUGCAGCGACGCCGCGUGAAGGAUGAAGGUUUUCGGAUCGUAAACUUCUAUCAGCAGGGAAGAAAGUGACGGUACCUGACUAAGAAGCCCCGGCUAACUACGUGCCAGCAGCCGCGGUAAUACGGAGGGUGCGAGCGUUAAUCGGAAUUACUGGGCGUAAAGCGUACGCAGGCGGUUUGUUAAGCGAGAUGUGAAAGCCCCGGGCUCAACCUGGGAACUGCAUUUCGAACUGGCAAACUAGAGUGUGAUAGAGGGUGGUAGAAUUUCAGGUGUAGCGGUGAAAUGCGUAGAGAUCUGAAGGAAUACCGGUGGGCGAAGGCGCCCCCCUGGACAGAUACUGACACUCAGAUGCGAAAGCGUGGGAGCAAACAGGAUUAGAUACCCUGGUAGUCCACGCCGUAAACGAUGUCUACUUGGAGGUUGUGGCCUUGAGCCGUGGCUUUCGGAGCUAACGCGUUAAGUAGACCGCCUGGGGAGUACGGUCGCAAGAUUAAAACUCAAAUGAAUUGACGGGGGCCCGCACAAGCGGUGGAGCAUGUGGUUUAAUUCGAUGCAACGCGAAGAACCUUACCUACACUUGACAUGCAGAGAACUUUCUAGAGAUAGAUAGGUGCCUUCGGGAACUCUGACACAGGUGCUGCAUGGCUGUCGUCAGCUCGUGUCGUGAGAUGUUGGGUUAAGUCCCGCAACGAGCGCAACCCUUGUCCUUAGUUGCCAGCAUUCAGUUGGGCACUCUAAGGAGACUGCCGGUGAUAAACCGGAGGAAGGUGGGGACGACGUCAAGUCAUCAUGGCCCUUACGAGUAGGGCUACACACGUGCUACAAUGGCGCAUACAGAGGGCGGCGAACUUGCGAGAGUGAGCGAAUCCCAAAAAGUGCGUCGUAGUCCGGAUCGGAGUCUGCAACUCGACUCCGUGAAGUCGGAAUCGCUAGUAAUCGUGGAUCAGAAUGCCACGGUGAAUACGUUCCCGGGCCUUGUACACACCGCCCGUCACACCAUGGGAGUGGGCUGCAAAAGAAGUAGGUAGUUUAACCUUCGGGAGGACGCUUACCACUUUGUGGUUCAUGACUGGGGUGAAGUCGUAACAAGGUAACCG